rnacentral:tRNA from 1 species
ACCUGGGUGGCUCAGUCAGUUGGAGCAUGUGACUCUUGAUCUCAGAGUCGUGAGUUCAAGUCUCACAUUGGGUG